rnacentral:rRNA from 1 species
UACGAAGGGGCUAGCGUUGCUCGGAAUCACUGGGCGUAAAGGGUGCGUAGGCGGGUUUUUAAGUCAGGGGUGAAAUCCUGGAGCUCAACUCCAGAACUGCCUUUGAUACUGAAGAUCUUUGAGUCCGGGAGAGGUGAGUGGAACUGCGAGUGUAGAGGUGAAAUUCGUAGAUAUUCGCAAGAACACCAGUGGCGAAGGCGGCUCACUGGCCCGGUACUGACGCUGAGGCACGAAAGCGUGGGGAGCAAACAGG